rnacentral:rRNA from 1 species
CAAAGAGCAGCUAACUCGCGAGAGUAUGACAAAUCUACAAAAGCCAUCCUCAGUUCGGAUUGGAGUCUGCAACUCGACUCCAUGAAGUUGGAAUCGCUAGUAAUCGCGGAUCAGCAUGCCGCGGUGAAUACGUUCCCGGGCCUU